CGCCCGGCUGGUCGCGGCGUCGAUGGCGUUGGCCUUCGGACGGUCGAGGGUGAUCUCGUGGAUCGCGCCGCGCCUGGCGACC
rnacentral:tRNA from 1 species